GGUCCUUGAUGUGUAGGAUAGGUGGGAGGCUUUGAAGUGUGGACGCCAGUCUGCAUGGAGCCAUCCUUGAAAUACCACCCUUUAAUGGCUGGUGUUCUAACGUAGACCCGUUACCCGGGUUGCGGACAGUGUCUGGUGGGUAGUUUGACUGGGGCGGUCUCCUCCUAAAGAGUAACGGAGGAGCACGAAGGUUAGCUAAUCCUGGUCGGACAUCAGGAGGUUAGU
rnacentral:rRNA from 1 species